UACGAAGGGGGCUAGCGUUGCUCGGAAUGACUGGGCGUAAAGGGCGCGUAGGCGGAUGGCUUUGUCGGGCGUGAAAUUCCAGGGCUUAACCUUGGGGCUGCGUUCGAGACGGGUUGUCUUGAGUGGGGAAGAGGGUCGUGGAAUUCCCAGUGUAGAGGUGAAAUUCGUAGAUAUUGGGAAGAACACCGGUGGCGAAGGCGGCGACCUGGUCCUUUACUGACGCUGAGGCGCGAAAGCGUGGGGAGCAA
rnacentral:rRNA from 1 species